rnacentral:rRNA from 1 species
UAGGGAAUCUUCGGCAAUGGACGAAAGUCUGACCGAGCAACGCCGCGUGAGUGAAGAAGGUUUUCGGAUCGUAAAACUCUGUUGUUAGAGAAGAACAAGGACGUUAGUAACUGAACGUCCCCUGACGGUAUCUAACCAGAAAGCCACGGCUAACUACGUGCCAGCAGCCGCGGUAAUACGUAGGUGGCAAGCGUUGUCCGGAUUUAUUGGGCGUAAAGCGAGCGCAGGCGGUUUCUUAAGUCUGAUGUGAAAGCCCCCGGCUCAACCGGGGAGGGUCAUUGGAAACUGGGAGACUUGAGUGCAGAAGAGGAGAGUGGAAUUCCAUAUGUAGCGGUGAAAUGCGUAGAUAUAUGGAGGAACACCAGUAGCGAAGGCGGCUCUCGGGUCUGUAACUGACGCUGAGGCUCGAAAGCGUGGGGAGCAAACAGG